UACGUAGGGAGCAAGCGUUGUCCGGAAUCAUUGGGCGUAAAGGGCGCGUAGGCGGUCUGGUAAGUCAAGUGUGAAAAUCAUCGGCUCAACCGGUGAACUGCGCUUGAAACUGCGGGACUAGAGAUCAGGAGAGGAAAGUGGAAUUCCUAGUGUAGCGGUGAAAUGCGUAGAUAUUAGGAAGAACAUCGAUGGCGAAGGCAGCUUUCUGGCCUGACACUGACGCUGAGGAGCGAAAGCGUGGGGAGCAAACAGG
rnacentral:rRNA from 1 species